CGGUUAAGUUAGAAAGGGCGCACGGUGGAUGCCUUGGCACUAGGAGCCGAUGAAGGACGGGACGAACACCGAUAUGCUUCGGGGAGCUGUAAGCAAGCUUUGAUCCGGAGAUUUCCGAAUGGGGAAACCCACUGCUCGUAAUGGAGCAGUAUCCAUAUCUGAAUUCAUAGGAUAUGAGAAGGCAGACCCGGGGAACUGAAACAUCUAAGUACCCGGAGGAAGAGAAAGCAAAUGCGAUUCCCUGAGUAGCGGCGAGCGAAACGGGAACAGCCCAAACCAAGAGGCUUGCCUCUUGGGGUUGUAGGACACUCUGUACGGAGUUACAAAAGAACGAGGUAGAUGAAGAGGUCUGGAAAGGCCCGCCAUAGGAGGUAACAGCCCUGUAGUCAAAACUUCGUUCUCUCCUGAGUGGAUCCUGAGUACGGCGGAACACGUGAAAUUCCGUCGGAAUCCGGGAGGACCAUCUCCCAAGGCUAAAUACUCCCUA
rnacentral:rRNA from 1 species